AACGAACGCUGGCGGCAUGCCUAACACAUGCAAGUCGACCGAACCCUUCGGGGUUAGUGGCGCCCGGGUGCGUAACGCGUGGGCGUCUGCCCUUUGCUUCGGAAUAACAGUUAGAAAUGACUGCUAAUACCGGAUGAUGUCUUCGGACCAAAGAUUUAUCGGCAAAGGAUGAGCCCGCGUAGGAUUAGGUAGUUGGUGGGGUAAAGGCCUACCAAGCCGACGAUCCUUAGCUGGUCUGAGAGGAUGAUCAGCCACACUGGGACUGAGACACGGCCCAGACUCCUACGGGAGGCAGCAGUGGGGAAUAUUGGACAAUGGACGCAAGUCUGAUCCAGCAAUGCCGCGUGAGUGAUGAAGGCCUUAGGGUUGUAAAGCUCUUUUACCAGGGAUGAUAAUGACAGUACCUGGAGAAUAAGCUCCGGCUAACUCCGUGCCAGCCGCCGCAGUAAUAC
rnacentral:rRNA from 1 species